GAGAAAUCUGGCUGUAGCUUCACCUGGGCUGAGGUGAGAGGAGCAGUGCCUUGAGCAGAAAGGAUGGAGCCCUGGUGUUGGCCUCACGCUCUACAGACAGCAUGGAGGCUGUGUGGGCUCAGCAGUAUGGCGAGCUUCAGAGUGUUGUGAGUGCCUGGAGGAACAACUUGAGAGGCAAAGACACUGGCAAGGACAGCAGAAAAGCUCCAGCAGGAACCUGAAGUCAGCCAGAGCAGAUGCUGAAAGCCGUCACUGACAAAAGCAGGACCUAAUGAAGACAAGGUGCAGGUUAAGACACUUCACAAGAGAGCUCUGCAGGGCCACCAGAAGACGUCAGGAUUUCCCCCUGCACAUUCCCAGGUGGAACACUUGGCCUGGCUCAGCAGCAGGAAUGAGCCACUGCUGCUUCUGCCUGGCCUGGAGAUGAGAGAGGAUGUGGACAUUCAAGACUAGAGGAAGAAGAAAACAAAACAGCCUUAAAAGUACUUAAGGCUUAACCCUGCAAUGAAUCUAGCAGCUACGCAGAAGUAGUUCCACAGAAGCCAGCUACUCCUGAAAGCAAACCUGCUCGGUGCUAGAGGCCUUUGCCAGUCACUUCAACAUACCCUUGUGUGCUGCCUUUAUAGAAAGAGUUUCCAGGAAAGUGUAUUCUGC